rnacentral:rRNA from 1 species
AAGGUGAUGCCUGCCCGGUGACUUUGUUCAACGGCCGCGGUAUCCUAACCGUGCAAAGGUAGCGCAAUCAAUUGUCCCAUAAAUCGGGACCCGUAUGAAUGGCUAAACGAGGUCUUAACUGUCUCUUACAGGCAAUCGGUGAAAUUGAUCUCCCUGUGCAAAAGCAGGGAUAAACCCAUAAGACGAGAAGACCCUGUGGAACUUUAAAAACAGCAACCACCCCAAAAUACAUACACCCCCACUCCGGGCUCACUUAUCCAUUGGGACGAUGGUCUGCAUUUUUUCGGUUGGGGCGACCUUGGAGCAAAACAAAACCUCCAAACAUGGGACAAUCCCUCCAGACUAAGAGCCACUACUCAAAGUGCUAAUAGCCACCAGAUCCAAUAUAAUUGAUCAAUGGACCAAGCUACCCCAGGGAUAACAGCGCAAUCUCCUCCGAGAGUCCAUAUCGACGGGGAGGUUUACGACCUCGAUGUUGGAUCAGGACAUCCUAGUGGUGCAGCCGCUACUAAGGGUUCG